rnacentral:snRNA from 1 species
AGCUUUGCGCAGUGGCAGUAUCGUAGCCAAUGAGGUUUAUCCAAGGCAUGAUUAUUGCUAGUUUGACAGAGUGAGAGCACAAGCA